rnacentral:rRNA from 1 species
UACGUAGGGUGCAAGCGUUGUCCGGAAUUAUUGGGCGUAAAGAGCUCGUAGGCGGUUUGUUGCGUCGGCUGUGAAAUCCCGAGGCUCAACCUCGGGUCUGCAGUCGAUACGAGCAAACUAGAGUGUUGCAGGGGAGACUGGAAUUCCUGGUGUAGCGGUGAAAUGCGCAGAUAUCAGGAGGAACACCGGUGGCGAAGGCGGGGUCUCUGGGCCGAAAUUGACGCUGGAGGAGCGAAAGCAUGGGGAGCGAA